GUGGUGUGUAUUUUGUGUCUUGGUAGAAGGAUCGCUUAAUCGACCACACAGGAAGUCGUCAUUGCUGCUCUCAGCACGUACAUCCUGAGAUGCCCUACAGCGUUCUGUUCGGAGAUUGUGAACAGUGCUUUUUGUCAAUCCCCAUCGAUCAUUUCGCAGCAGCUUUGCAGCUAGUGUCUAGAGCUGCUUUGACUUCUUCAAUUCUCUCUUGUGUGGACGUAAGUCAUUGCACUUGCAACGGCUCGUUUCAAACGUGCGAGACAUUAUAAAACAAGAAUGACACAAUUGUACUACUACUUCUAGCAGUACAACAAGUAAGCUACCCAGUCGUCAUACAGUCU